UUCUUCUUUCUUAAACUGGUGGUGCUUGUUUGUUCACUUAGAGUUGUGCUUGUUUUAUGAAUUGCUUAGUGUAAAAAUUUCUGCAACUCUACAAGUCCAAGAUAAAAUUAGACAAAUUUAGAGAAAAUGCAUUUGAGGUUUCAGAGGAAAUAUGUGGUUUUGCAGAUGCUUGUGUCCAUGGCAUUGCAGUUCAUAACCUAAGAUUGCUGAGCUCAUUAGAACAUAUUUUGAUAUUUUAUAGACAUACUGGAGGCAAACCAUAAAGCAAAAGGCAUUUGUGUCCAAGAUAUCCUUUUUGUUCUUGUUCUUCCUGCUUUCCUUCCAAAGGAAAUGGAUGUUUGCUUUAUGCACUUGCACAUGCUUUUGAUGAGGAAGAAUUGGAUAGUUGAUCCAACAAACUGGAAAAGGUAGAGGUCAAAUUUAGAUUUUUUAUAGUUUAAAGAGAGGUGCAUUUUAUAUACAUGUGCAUGUGGGCAACAGCUGCCUAAGCACAGCAUAAACCACAAAACCCUAUCUUAAAGUAGGUCCUGCAUGAAAUACAUGCGGGGCUCGCAUAUGGAGGAGAUUAUAUUUUUGAGGGGAGUAGUCAGGAGAUUAUAGUAUGAUUCAUGUUGCAUGAAGAAGCUAUAUCCUGUUGUUCCAGAAAGAAAAAAAAAAAAGAAA